CAACUUGAGAGUUUGAUCCUGGCUCAGAGCGAACGCUGGCGGCAGGCUUAACACAUGCAAGUCGAGCGGGCGUAGCAAUACGUCAGCGGCAGACGGGUGAGUAACGCGUGGGAACGUACCUUUUGGUUCGGAACAACACAGGGAAACUUGUGCUAAUACCGGAUAAGCCCUUACGGGGAAAGAUUUAUCGCCGAAAGAUCGGCCCGCGUCUGAUUAGCUAGUUGGUAGGGUAAUGGCCUACCAAGGCGACGAUCAGUAGCUGGACUGAGAGGUUGACCGGCCACAUUGGGACUGAGACACGGCCCAGACUCCUACGGGAGGCAGCAGUGGGGAAUAUUGG
rnacentral:rRNA from 1 species